UGCCUCAUUGGUUUUGUCAGCGCUAUAUGUUCAGCUAAAAGACUAAGCUAUGCCUAUCGAGUUCAACUUUGGACUUCAAUAACUGCUAAAGGCUCAUCAUAGGUGAUGAAAUUUCUUAGGAAUUGUUUCGAUGAAUUACUGCGGUAAUUUUGGAGUUAAUACAUUCAACAAAAGUUUUUGUUUUGUUCUACGAAUUCACAGAAUUGGUAUAACGCAUAUUCCAAAUGACUGCUCUGUUAACAUCAUGGUCCAUUAGUCUACUAUGGUUAUUCCGGCUAACGGAGAAUAAGGGUUCGACUCCGGAGAGAGAGCCUUAGAAACGCUAUCACAUCGAAAGAAGACAGCAGUCGCAAACUUAUCCAAUCUUGGGGAGGUGAGAUAGUGACUAGAAAUAAGAGUGGAAGCACGUUUGCUGCCAGUAACCUUGGUAAUUCCAACUCCACUAAUGUAAAUCGUUACUGCUGCGGUUAAAAAGCUCGUAGUUGGAUAUGAGUUACAUGUAAUGGUUCGCCUUUGGCGUUAAUCGUGUGUGUAUUCCGGUUUUCUACCAGAGUUUCAACCUUUCUAGUCACUAGUGAGUUUGCCUUGAAUAAAUUAGAAUGCUCAAAACAAGGGCUUGCUGAAAUCGCUGAUCAUGAAAUAAUAGAAGAUGACAUCGAUUCUAUUAAUCAAUUUAAAAAAUGGAAUGAAUGGUUAAGAGGGAUAUUCGUAUUCCUGUGCGACGAGAGAAGAAAUUCGUGAACGUAAACUAUGCCAUCUAGCAAUUCGAUGGGGUACUAUUGAUUGGUAUUCGAUUGCCAAACGAAUUCAUUACCUUCUCAUAGACAUCAUAAGACAUAAGCUUUGAUGUUGAUCUAUC
rnacentral:ncRNA from 1 species